UACGUAGGGUCCGAGCGUUGUCCGGAAUUAUUGGGCGUAAAGGGCUCGUAGGCGGUUCGUCACGUCGGGAGUGAAAACUCGGGGCUUAACCCCGAGCCUGCUUCUGAUACGGGCAGACUAGAGGUAUGCAGGGGAGAACGGAAUUCCUGGUGUAGCGGUGAAAUGCGCAGAUAUCAGGAGGAACACCGGUGGCGAAGGCGGCGACCUGGUCCUUGACUGACGCUGAGGCGCGAAAGCGUGGGGAGCAAACAGG
rnacentral:rRNA from 1 species